rnacentral:lncRNA from 15 species
CAAUAAAUCCCAGUAGGCUGCAUAAAGCUGAUUGUAGUAUUUAUGUAUUUUGGAUUUAUUUUAGAGAAAUUUAAACGUUUCGUUUUAAAGGUUUGAAAGACUUCUAAAUACAAAUAAAUAAUAUAAACAUCUUCUUGGGAUUUAAUAGGCUGUAUAAAUAAGUUGUAUGCGGGUCACAUGCGGGGCAGAUGCUGUAAUGGUUGCAGUGUACACAGUUGAUCGCCCCGGCGUGUAGCAGCUUCUUCCCCGGACUCAGCGGCGCCUGGUCUGCUCGCCUGCCGCCCGUGCGACGCGUUGCGCGGCCAGCGAGCCGUUCCUGCUCCGCUGCCUGCGGCUCCCACUACCGGCGAGAAGAGAGGAGCUCCGAAAAAACCCGCACACGAGCGGGGAAAUGCAGCCCUGCAGCAGAGAGGAGUUCCCAGCAGCAGCUCUGCCGUCCACAUUAUCACCCUGCUUAUUCUGUCCGAGGCUACUCGUCCUGUUGACUCAUCCUCCUGUCUGCGACCUCCACUGGGUUUUGUCUUGAAGACCAUCGACCACAGCAGCCAACUGCAGAGAAGCCACAUGACCCACACAGAAAUGCACUAAAUUAUGUAUAAAUUCAAUUAAACUCAUCUAGAAACCUCCCUUUUUUCUUUGCAAUGGCUUUUUUUCCCCCUUUGGCUUUUAUGUGUUUUAAAAGCAGGUUUAGUCUUAAUUUUAUUUUGGUACAAAUGUGACUUAAUAAUGUAUUUAUUUAUAUAUUUAUUUGCAGGAGACCAACAGUUAACAUGCUGAUUAGGCAGGGAUGUUUUAGGCAUCCUUACUGAUAUGUUAGACCUUGAAUAAACAUAUAAUAACACCAGAAAUUAAAGACACACACACACACACACACACACACACACAUUCAUAAACAUAAUAGAUUUUAUCUUCAAAUGUUUACAUCUUACCUUAUUAGUCAAAAGCCAUCACUGUAUUUCCUGUAUUUACCAUCACUGUGAACGGGCUCCAGGUGAAGAAUGAAACACCAUUACAAGGACAGGUGGUGCUGGCAGAGAUGAAUGUAAUCUUGUGGGGUUAUAAUGAAUGUGACAGGAUAUAGAUCUGAGAUGAGAUCUGGUUUUGAUCAUCAGGUAAAAAUAGAUCAGUCAGCGGCAGAUUAUUACUGAUAAUUACUUUCAAAUGGUUGGCUAUGUGAGAGGUCUAUAUUAUUAAAUAAUUCCACCCCUGGUUAGUCGUGUGUGUGUGUGUGUGUCUGUGUGUGUGUGUGUGUGUGUGUGUGUGUGUGUGUGUGUGUGUGUGUCCAUAUAUAAUAAUUACAUUAAAGGUGAUAGAGUAGAAGAAAAGGUGUGUUAUUAAUCGUUUCCUCUUUUUAUAC